GGAGAGGUGCCGGAGCGGCUGAUCGGGGCGGUCUCGAAAACCGUUGUGCCCUUGCGGGUACCCAGGGUUCGAAUCCCUGCCUCUCCGC
rnacentral:tRNA from 1 species